rnacentral:lncRNA from 1 species
UUAGUUUUCUAACUUGUGCCCCAAGUUUGAGGCUGAAAUUAUGCAUAAGUCCCUCACUAGAAUGUUCUAGGGGUUGUUACAAGAUUCUUUCAGGCUCAAAUACCCUCUAUACCCCUGUUUCCCUUCCUAAUUAACUAACCUGAGGCUUUUUACCCUUGGUUUUUCAUUUGGUUUGGUCAGCCUGACCUUGGUCAAUUGUGUUUAAAUUAUGGGCCAAUUUUGGUCAGGACUAACAGGCUUAUUUGACAAGUUUAAGAAUUAGCCCAUACAACUAAAUAUCCUAAUGUGGAUUAUUCAGCAACAAAUAUUAUAACUUCAGGCAUCUUUAUGUCAAAAACCAAUGGAUUAAAUCGACCAGGGAAGGAAGCCAAUCAAUUAGUGCAAGACUUACAGAAGUGACCCAAUUACAAAAACUCAGUAAAAGUUAUAAUCAAGAAAGGAGACGAGAACAAGACUAAUAUCAGAAAUUCACACAAACUUAGCCUCAACAAAUGCAAAUUAAGCAAGAUGUAUGAUAAGCAAAGAAUCAUCGCCAAAAUUUCCAGCAGACAAAAUGAUUAUUUCAGGACUUUCGGAGAUUAUCAAACAAACCUAAGAAUGAACUCCUAACCAAAAUUUCCAACAUGGUAUAAAACAGACAAAAAAUGAUUAUUUCCAGGACUUUCAGAGAUGAUCAAACAAACCUAAGAAUGCAAGCAAGAUCAUGCUACUCAAAAUAUCAAUAGAACUAAAGGUGACUAGAUGAAUGACCAAGAGGAAUGAACACUCUAAGAUGAAAAACAACUUCUCAGAAUCAUGACGCAAUGGAAGUAAGAUCCAAAAGAUAAACAUUUACCAAAACUAAUCAGGAUCUUAGGGGGUGAAACAAACAAAACAUGUAAAUACAAUCCAUGUAAAGUUUCAGAGGUGAAAACAAACCGACAAGUCAAAAGGCAAAACAUAAUACCAGACCAUUAUAGAAGGUGCAUCCCAACCAGUGAUACCCGCAGAACCAAACAAGACGACAUAUCAUACUUUAGGGUGAGAACAACUAAAACCUUAAAGGAAACAAAGUAAAUAACAAACAAUGACAAGAACAAAGAAUACUUAUCUUUUGGUUCAUGCAGCUUGAAUCAAUUCCGCGGGGUUUCUGACCUCUUUUGGGGAGGUUUCUAACCUUUAGGGCAAUUUGCCUUGCGAACAAAGGGUUCAGGGGUUCAGGAAUGAGAGUUUGUGAUUCUGAGACCAAGUGAGGUCUCAGAUCUGAAUUUUCUUGGUGGCUAGUGGUGUUUGAGGGCUGUGGAUGGCAUGGUUGGGGAGAGGGCUGGAAGGGGAUUAUCUUAGGCCAGUUUGGCCGGAAUCCGAUGGGAUUUAGGUUUUAUGGUAAACUUUAAAUCGAUAUUCGAGCUGUUUAACUUGGAUUCGAAGGGUGUGAUAUGGAUGGUUGGAAAGAGGAAGAUGAGAUGGUUCAGGGGUGUAAUUUUGGACGGGUUUGGGGUUUGGUCGCCGGAGACGGUGGUUCCGGCGAUCCUUCUUUUGAAGAUUCGAGACGAUGGAGGGUUGUUUCAAGGAAACUGAUUGCAGGACGGGGAAGGGGAGGUCUUAUUGGUCCUAUGGUGUAAAUUUGGGGCGGUUUGGUGAUCGGCCGCCGCCGUGAGGCGAUUUCCGGCGGCGGCGUUGGGGUGGUUGUUGGGCGGUCAAUGGCGGAGGCGGGCAGGUGUUACAACGGUGUAUUUUG